AUUGAACGCUGGCGGCAUGCUUUACACAUGCAAGUCGGACGAGUGGCGGACGGGUGAGUAACGCAUCGGAACGUACCGAGUGAUGGGGGAUAACUAUCCGAAAGGACAGCUAAUACCGCAUACUAUUCGAGCGGCCGAUGUCGGAUUAGGUAGUUGGCGGGGUAAAGGCUCACCAAGGCGACGAUCCGUAGCGGGUCUGAGAGGAUGACCCGCCACACUGGGACUGAGACACGGCCCAGACUCCUACGGGAGGCAGCAGUGGGGAAUAUUGGACAAUGGGCGCAAGCCUGACGCAGCCAUGCCGCGUGUCUGAAGAAGGCCUUCGGGUUGUAAAGGACUUUUGUCAGGGAAGCGUUACCUGAAGAAUAAGCACCGGCUAACUACGUGCCAGCAGCCGCGGUAAUUC
rnacentral:rRNA from 1 species